rnacentral:rRNA from 1 species
GACGAACGCUGGCGGCGUGCCUAACACAUGCAAGUCGAACGGAACUUGUUGGAUCAAGACUUCGGUCAAGUGAAUUCAAGUUUAGUGGCGAACGGGUGGGUAACGCGUGAGCAACCUGCCUCUCAGAGGGGGACAACAGUUGGAAACGACUGCUAAUACCGCAUAAUACAUUUUAGGGGCAUCCCUUUAAUGUCAAAGAUUUAUCGCUGAAAGAUGGGCUCGCGUCUGAUUAGAUAGUUGGUGGGGUAACGGCCUACCAAGUCGACGAUCAGUAGCCGGACUGAGAGGUUGAACGGCCACAUUGGGACUGAGAUACGGCCCAGACUCCUACGGGAGGCAGCAGUGGGGAAUAUUGGGCAAUGGGGGGCAACCCUGACCCAGCAACGCCGCGUGAAGGAAGAAGGUCUUCGGAUUGUAAACCUUGUUGAUAGGGACGAACAGAUGACGGUACCUAUCGAGGAAGCCACGGCUAACUACGUG